UAUAAGUGUAGUUACGGGUUUCCAUAUCCAAUGUUUAAUCGUCCGUCUUACUUACAAAAUAUAUAUAAUUAAUAUUUUUAUUGUUAUUAGAUGAUAAAAUAUAAAUAGUAAUUAAUGUGUGACUAUUUUUUUAGUAUUUUCACAAAUUUUUCAAAUAAGACAAACGGUCAAAUAUUGGAUACUGAAACCCACAACUGCACUUAUA
rfam:Oryza glaberrima chromosome 2 Oglab02_0282_3, whole genome shotgun sequence.